UACUUAGUGGCGGACGGGUGAGUAACGCGUGGGCAACCUGCCCCGUGCCGGGGGAUACCGCCUGGAAACAGGCGCUAAUACCGCAUAAGCGCAUACAGCCGCAUGGCAGUAUGCGGAAAGCUCCGGCGGCACGGGAUGGGCCCGCGCCCGAUUAGCCAGUUGGCGGGGUAACGGCCCACCAAAGCGACGAUCGGUAGCCGGCCUGAGAGGGCGGACGGCCACAUUGGGACUGAGACACGGCCCAAACUCCUACGGAAGGCAGCAG
rnacentral:rRNA from 1 species